AGCUCCAAUAGCGUAUAUUAAAGUUGUUGCAGUUAAAAAGCUCGUAGUUGGAUCUCGGGUACUAGCAUGUGGUACGCUUUACUGCUGUUACUACAUGUCUGGUCCUAAUCAAUCGGUUGGCCGUUGAUGCCCUUCAUUGGGUGUUUUCGGUAGCCGGUACGUUUACUUUGAGAAAAUUAGAGUGCUUAAAGCAGGCUAUACGCCUGAAUAAUGUUGCAUGGAAUAAUAGAAUAGGACCUCGGUUUUAUUUUGUUGGUUUUGUAGAGCAUUGAGGUAAUGAUUAAUAGGGACAGACGGGGGCAUUCGUACUGCGGUGUUAGAGGUGAAAUUCUUGGAUCGCCGCAGGACGAACAACUGCGAAAGCAUUUGCCAAGAAUGUUUUCAUUA
rnacentral:rRNA from 1 species